rnacentral:rRNA from 1 species
CCUACGGGGGGCAGCAGUGGGGAAUAUUGGGCAAUGGGCGCAAGCCUGACCCAGCAACGCCGCGUGAAGGAAGAAGGCUUUCGGGUUAGACUUCUUUUCUCAGGGACGAAGCAAGUGACUGUACCUGAGGGAUAAGCCACGGCUAACUGCGUGCCAGCAGGCGCGGUAAGACGUAGGUGGCAAGCGUUAUCCGGGUUGACUGGGGGUAAAGGGCGUGUAGGCGGGAAAGCAAGUCAGAUGUGAAAACCACGGGCUCAACCGGUGGCCUGCAUUUGAAACUGUUUUUCUUGAGUACUGGAGAGGCAGACGGAAUUCCUAGUGUAGCGGUGAAAUGCGUAGAUAUUAGGAGGAACACCAGUGGCGAAGGCGGUCUGCUGGACAGCAACUGACGCUGAGGCGCGAAAGCGUGGGGAGCAAACAGGAUUAGAUACCCGAGUAGUC